UACGUAGGGUGCAAGCGUUGUCCGGAAUUAUUGGGCGUAAAGAGCUCGUAGGCGGUCUGUCACGUCGGCUGUGAAAACCCGAGGCUCAACCUCGGGCUUGCAGUCGAUACGGGCAAACUAGAGUACUGCAGGGGAGACUGGAAUUCCUGGUGUAGCGGUGAAAUGCGCAGAUAUCAGGAGGAACACCGGUGGCGAAGGCGGGUCUCUGGGCAGUAACUGACGCUGAGGAGCGAAAGCGUGGGGAGCGAACAGG
rnacentral:rRNA from 1 species